CUUCAAUUUGUGGCAUCAGGGUUUAGCAGUUUCUUUCCCAGUCUAAAAAGUAGUACUUUUUGAGAGGGAGCAUAAAAGACAUAAUAAAUUUAAUAAAAUUAAUUCAAGCAUAGGUAUUCAGUAAAUAUAAAGGAGAAGGCAUCCAACAUAAAAAGACCUUUUAAUCUAGAAAGCAAAAGCCAAAUUACAAUAAUAUGAAUAAUAAGCAAAUUAAUAGAUAGAAAGCAUUCUCUUUCCAAACUGAGAAUAUGGUUUAGCUCAUAUGCCUCAGUGGGAUGCAUGGGUCUUUGAGGACCUGGGAGGGGGGCAGCUAAAUUGCUGGCAAGGUGAAAGCUAGAAAUCAAUAAUCAGCCCUGAUUCCCAGCAGCUGACUGAAAGGUCUUUUAGGAAGCCACAGAGAUAGCUGGUCCCCUGGAGGGGGCAGGAAGGUCUUGGUGCCUAGUUUACAAGAGGGCUUAUUCACUUGUUUGUGUUGGAUAAGUGAAUUCGGUGCUUGUGGAAGAUGCCAGAUGGGCUGCAUGGGAGCCAGGAAGUCUCUCUCUCCACCAAGCAACAGCAGCGUGUGCUUCCCAAACUGAGCUGCCAGAGUGCCUUAGACCUGAGCCGUAGCUGUUCCUACAGGCAAGCUUGCCAAUGCACUGCAGAUCUGUCCUGUCAUGCACAGAGUCCCAUGAGUGCCACUUUAAUGAUCCAGCUAUAAGGUGUAUACACAUCAUCCUCCAAGCAAGUCAGCUUAUUUAAUUUCCUUCUCCUCUCAAGAACACAGUUUCACCUCAGUGGUCCAGUUUCUGAAACAUAUGGGUCUUGCCCAAUUUCCUAUGUCUGUUACUCGUAGCCUCUUGUAAUUUGGUGUUACUAUCAGACUUGAUGAAUGUGAUGAGUACAGUAGUAAUGUGCAUUCUCUUAGAUAUUUAUGAAGGUAUUAUAUAGUUUUGUUCCCUAAAAAGCUCUUGAAGUAUGCUUAUCUUUUCAGCCUGAGAAUUAUGGCUGUUUUUUGCCUGUGGGCUAUUAACCUUGGUUGAAAAUCAUCCAUAUAUUUAAUCCAAAUUUCUUACUCAAAUGAACCUCACAUUGUUUUAUAUUGCUGUUAUUACUGUUCCUUGUAUGAGAGGCUUUAAUAAAACAUACCUGCACUUGGCCUACUUCUUUCUU
rnacentral:lncRNA from 1 species